GCAACUUAAAUACUUUUAUCAGAUUUAAUUUUGUUAUCAAUUUUUUGUAUUUCCUUUUAUUUUUGGUUACUUUUAGUUUUAGUUUUUAGUGUAUGAUCUAUAAUCAAGGCCUGAGAUUAAAUGAUCUAUAGUCUAUUGAUAGCUUUAUGAAUCAAGUUACUGCACCAGUAGUGUUCAUGCUCUAGUAACUAUGAACAGUAAUCACAUGUUAUAAGGGUAUGCUAGAAAGCCUAAAG
rnacentral:lncRNA from 1 species